rnacentral:rRNA from 1 species
UACGGAGGGAGCAAGCGUUACUCGGAAUUAUUGGGCGUAAAGGGCGCGUAGGCGAUUUGAAAAGUCUUGUGUGAAAGCCCCGAGCUUAACUCGGGAAGUGCACAAGAAACUGUUGAAUUUGAGUUCCGGAGAGGAAGGCAGAAUUCCCGGUGUAGUGGUGGAAUGCGUAGAUAUCGGGAGGAACACCAGUGGCGAAGGCGGUUGCCUGGGGCUUUGCUGACGC